ensembl:lncRNA
CCUGCCCUGCCCCGCUCCCGCCCAACGAGCACCGAUCCUGCCUCCCCCACAUUCUCAAAUGUCCCCGUCACCAUCAUCUUCACACAGAGACAAAGCACCCCUCCCUCUGCUGGUCUUCCCCAACUGCUUAGGCUCUAGACCUUCUUAAAAGUUAUUUUGUUGGGCCAGCCCUUGGGAGGCAGAGACUGGCUGAUCCCCGAGUUCGAGGUCAGCUUGGUUUACAGAGUCAGUUCCAGGACAGUCACGGGUACACAGAGAAACCCUGUCUUGAAACACACUAGAAAUAAUAAUAAUGAUUGUUUACAGUUAUGUAUUUGUUUUUUUUAUUAUUAUUAUUGUAUGUGAAAGAAGGGGUACAGGCAUGCCAUGGUGCCUAUGUGGGUCUCAGAGAACUUGCCAGAGUCUGUUCUCUCCUUCCACCUUGUGGAACUAAGGGAUAGAAUUGAGGUUGUCAUCAGGCUUGGAGGCAGGCACCCUUACCUGCUGCAGAGCCAUCUGCCUGAUCUCAGGCCCUCUCUUGACUUGCUACCAUGAUUGGAAGAGGCGUGAAAUGCUUGUGGUCCUUGGAACUGUUGUAAAGAUCUCCAAGUCUGAGAACACCCCAUAAACACUGAGUGGGUCACAUUUUUUACACGGACUCAGGUGCCUGGUGGACCGGCUUCCUUGGUAGCCCUUGCACAGCAUGAGACUUGGCCAGGGGAAGCCGGAGCCCUGGGGUGCCAGAUCAGGAUGUGUCCGAUCAGCUGGCCUCUUAUGCUUCAGGCUGCAAACACCAGGUCUGGAAAACAAAGGUCUCCAUAAUUCUCCAGCCAUGGACCAGCCUCAGCCCCCAACACAUGGACAUCGUUUGCUCGUGUCUCCCCCGGCCCCCAUACCCUAGCUGUAGCUAAAUCUUAAAUACCAUUCUGAACCACAGCUCAGCUGCCUGGCUUUGGUCAUGCCACACGGUCAUGGGCUUGAUUAUCUCCACCUGCUCCACAGUGUCCAGGUGCAAAGUCUGGAGGGCCAUGCGCAAACAUUCGUCCUUGCUUAAGCUUGUGACACCUCUGUGUCAGUGCUGUGUUGUCGUCAUAUAAGUGGCUCAUCUGUGUCACAGCUGUAUAUUAACAAACAUGGACACCUCCUUUGCACAAGGAAAAGAAUGUGAAGGUCUGUAUGUUCUGUGCAACCUCAGACCUUCACUGAGCUUCAGACUUUGCCUGGUUUGUUUGGGACAAGGACAUGUUCUAAUCUACAAAAUAACCUGAUCUACAUCGUGAGUUCCAUGCUAUAUCAAGAGAUUCUGCCUCAAAAAAAAAAAAAAUUCUGUAUCUUUCAACACCAGGUCUCCUCUGCAGUGUUCAGUUACAGUACUUUUUUCAUCUUCUCUGUUUUAAGAUACCCUGCAGAGAGAGAGGUGUAGCUCACUGUAGCCUAGCAUUUGCAAGAUCUGGAGUCUGAUCCUUAGAACUACAAAAAAAUAAAUAAAUAAUUUAAAAAUAAUUUCAAAGCUGCAACAACCUCACCACUAACAACAACAAUGAGAGUACAUCCAAG